rnacentral:rRNA from 1 species
GAGUUUGAUCAUGGCUCAGAACGAACGCUGGCGGCAUGCCUAACACAUGCAAGUCGAACGAAGUCUUCGGACUUAGUGGCGCACGGGUGCGUAACGCGUGGGAAUCUGCCCUUGGGUACGGAAUAACUCAGAGAAGUUUGUGCUAAUACCGUAUAAUGUCUUCGGACCAAAGAUUUAUCGCCCAAGGAUGAGCCCGCGUAAGAUUAGCUAGUUGGUGAGGUAAGAGCUCACCAAGGCGACGAUCUUUAGCUGGUCUGAGAGGAUGAUCAGCCACACUGGGACUGAGACACGGCCCAGACUCCUACGGGAGGCAGCAGUGGGGAAUAUUGGACAAUGGGCGAAAGCCUGAUCCAGCAAUGCCGCGUGAGUGAUGAAGGCCUUAGGGUUGUAAAGCUCUUUACCCGGAUGAUAAUGACAGUACCGGGAGAAGUAAGCUCCGGCUAACUCCGUGGCCAGCAGCAGCCGCCGU